rnacentral:lncRNA from 1 species
UUCACUGGAUCUUGUUGUUUGGGCACCUGAGACAAGCUGGCAGUCACUAAAUCUCAGCGAUCACUCAAUGUGUGCCAGGCAUUCGCACACAAUAUCACUAACACCCAUGACAGUCCUUCAAGAGAGGUUCUGCUGUCUGAGAGAUUAUGUGACACGCCUAAGGUCACAGGAUCAGCAAAUACUAGGGCUGAGAUUUAAACCCAGAACUGUCUACUGCCAAAGCUUUUGCGCUCUCCCUCGUGCCACGUUGCUUCUCAUUUUGGGCUUGGUCUCCACUUCCCAGUCCUUGAAGGAGUUCUCCAGGUCUGCCCCAUUAGCACUGCAUCUCAGAAGGAAGCUGCAGCUGCGCCGCCAAUCUCCCGGUGGUAGGUGCUUAAUAAACAUUAUGAAGUGCAUGAACAAAUGAAUAGCCCCUGAUGGACAGACAUGCUUGAGAAACACUAUUUUUCACAUUCCUAUCUACACUCAAGAUUUUACCUAUGAUAGCAGGCUGAAGAUUCCCAGGAUCUUACAUCCUAGCAGGGGGAAGCUCAAGGGAAAGCCAGGAGGAGAAAGCCUUUGGGGAGGAAGUGAGACAUGCACUGAACUUUGAGA